UUCUCCCAGGAGCAUGUCUGUCUGAGUGUCGGU
rnacentral:rRNA from 2 species